rnacentral:lncRNA from 1 species
GGGGUUUUUGAACAUCUAGAACGUGCUACACUCGCGCAGUACGAGGCAUCAGAUUUGAUCGUUACGGCUAACCGAUGCGACUAGUUAAUAUGAUAUGUUUAUGGGAAGAAAGAAGUGAAGGAAGGUAAUUAUUUUUAUAAAACAGUCAACAUAUUUUAUUAGGUAAACUAUGUGAUUGUAAACGGUCGAGAAUGGUUGACUGUUGUCGUUUGCUUAACAAAUAUCAUGUUCACUCCAUUGAACUCAGACAUCACUACGGUAAACUUAAAAUUGCAUAAAAAGUGAUGUUUUAUCAGGUCCUAGUAUAAGCCCCAUUCACCUUGUCACGUGUUAUUAUGUUUCAAAAUGCUACGUUUCAACUACGUUUUGAAUAAAAAUGUCCCGUUUAUUUUAAAGUUAGGUUUUACUAGGUUUGUGCUAAUACGUAGCAAAACGGGAUAAGAAGGUAUUCUUAUCACGUUUUGCUACAUAUUAGCAAGUGUAAACCCACGUUUCCACCCUUCAUUGAUACGUAUCGAUACGUGGUUAGCACGUUUUGUUUAUACGUUCCCCUAAGCGUCG